CCCAGGCCUUGCACCUGGAUCAAUGGGCUGCCCUAAUGAAGGAUAUCAAAAAUGAAGGGGCAGCUAAAGAAAAAUAAAAGACACCUCAGAAAGUAGCCUGCCUCUUUGACAAGGGACAUGCCUUCAGAGGAACAUAACAGAAACCUCUGAGAAUUGUCAACAAUAAAAAGACUGAGCAACAAGGGAAACUGGUAGGAAGCCAAAGGUUUUAAGAGGUGAGAGUGGAGAAAUGCUGUGCUUUUAUUGAUCCUCUCCAAAGGAACACCUUUAAAAAAGCCUCAUCAGUGUGAAGAUUAUUGAUGCCAGCAAGUGAAUUAAAGGAAUUAAAGUCAGAAUUCC
rnacentral:lncRNA from 1 species